rnacentral:lncRNA from 1 species
AAACAGGGAGAUGAAGAUGAAACACAGAGACAUAAAAGAGUCGCUUAGGGAAAUGAUAAAGAGAAGAGAGAAGGCAAUUAAAGCAGGGGAAGAGAGCAAUGAGGACUUGUUGGACAUACUUGUGGAAUCCAAUAUCAGAGAAAUGGAAGCAAAGAAUAUGGGGAUGAGCAUUGAGGAUGUGAUUGAGGAAUGCAAGCUGUUUUACUUUGCUGGCCAAGAGACCACUUCGGUCUUACUGGUGUGGACUAUGGUUUUAUUAGCAAGGUAUCCCGAUUGGCAAAGUAAAGCAAGAGAGGAGGUUUUGCAUGUUUUGGGUGACAGUAAACCUGAUGCUGAUGGCCUUAAUCGUCUCAAAGUUGUAAGUCCCUAGCAUGUCUUUUGAAGGUCCGAUCAAUGAGGUCGACAACUCAAAAACUUGGUUUUUUUUGUUUCGCUAAUUCUACAGGUAACAAUGAUAUUGUACGAGGUUCUAAGGUUGUACCCACCAGUGGUUGAGCUAGGACGUUCCGUUCCAAAAGAAAUAAAACUGGGGAAUUUGUUGUUACCAGCAGGAGCAGAAGUUUCGGUUCCGAUCCUGCAGAUCCACCAUGACAAAGAUCUUUGGGGUGACGACGCACGGGAAUUUAAGCCAGAGCGGUUGGCGGAAGGGGUUUCCAAAGCAACAAAGAGUCAAGUCACGUUUCUGCCAUUCGGAUGGGGUCCUAGGAUCUGUAUUGGCCAAAAUUUUGCCAUGAUGGAAGCCAAAAUGGCGAUGGCUAUGAUUCUCCAACGCUUCUGGUUCGAGCUUUCCCCUUCCUAUGCUCACUCUCCUUACAGCAGGGCAACUCUUCGUCCACAGCAUGGUGCACAGAUAGUUUUACAUAAACUUGGCUCUAAUUGAAUUGUUAUGUAAACAGAUCUUUUUGAAAAUAUAGCGUUUUAGUGUAUCGUCAAAGUCCGGUGUCUGUAAUGGUACAAUUCCGAUGCAUGAAUAGUAAAUUUUAAGAUGUUUGGUUAAGUCCGAAAUAAUAUGCAGAAAUUGAGUGUCUUGAAUGGAUGUAGUAUUUAAUGGUGGACAUAGUUGAGGGAUUAAUGUGGUAAUUAUCGAACAAAUAAUUGCAUAUGGUACAAAGACUUAUAUGGAAAUUAGAGCGGGGGGAGUAGAAAAUGACUACUUUGCUUUGGGCAUCAAUUUAGAAAGAUUUAAAGUACAAAUGUAUUAUUAGUUUAAAGGAUUUGUUUUAAAGAAGGAAUGACAAUUAAACCUCAUGGUUGAUUUGUGGAAGGGAACCGAUGAUGGGAUGAUUAUUCUUAGUGGUAAAAAAAAAACUAUUAAGGAGGUUAUUAUACUUGUUAUCAAUUUCUCAAAAUUUGAAUGGGUUUAAGUCAGAUUAUAUCGAGCUUGUUAGAUGAGUUCACGGACCAAGCUUGCAUGAUAAUGGCUGCUUACAGAAAUGUAUCUAUAGUUUUCUACAAAGUCAUAUGUGAAAUUAUGCAUUGGUACCGCAUAAACAUGUUUUAUGUCUAGAAUAUUAUACGUGUCUAUGUGCAUGGAAUCUACCUAGUAUAUCAUAUCAAUGAACAGUAUCAAUGGUGGACCUCAAAAGUAUUUUUGGGGGAUCAGAAUUAAACUGUAUGUUUUUAUGAAAGUAAAAAUUUAAUUUCACUAUUUUAUAGUCAAUUUCUUUUUAAUUUUUGAAGGAUUAAAUCAAAUUUUUAUAAAUUUUUAGGAGGUUGAAGUACAAUUUUAUCAUUACUAAUUUAAAAUUUUAUAAAUUAUAAAAAAUAUAAAUAAAAAAUUUUAUAUUUUAGGAUAGCCAAGGCUCCUGCCAACUCUAACUCACUGAAUAGUAUAAAUAAAUAAAUACCAUCAUCUAAAAUAUGGGUAAGUGUCCAAAAUAUGAUUUUGGUGAAAAUAUGUAGGGUUGGUCUCAUGGAAGUGUAAAGACAAGAACCCCGCUAAUGUAUGGGAUGUGUAAAGUUGAAUCUAGGGAGCAAAUAGGAGUGAAUCAUUUUGGUAACAUUUGGACAAGAAACAUAAUGAACAAAAUGAAAGGAGAGGAAGCUAGUAAAAGAUUUUUUUGGGUCAUAUAAUUUGUUUGGCAUAUAUUUUUAUAAUUUUUAAAUAUCAUUUUGGAGUUGAAUUAUAACUUUUUUUUAUAUAUUAUCUUAAAAUUUUAUAAAAUUUAAGGAGUUAAAACGUAAUUAUUCCAUGGGUCAGAGCUGCCCUCGCUUUGCAUUUCUUUGAGAUUCAGCCUUAUCUCAAUUGAGGGUUGAGUAGAAAGAUUUGGUGGAGCAAGCAAAGCUAUCAAUCAAGGUUGGAGAAAGCUUAGGAGGUCACAAUGCAUAAUUAUUUAAAUGUAAUUCUAAUAUUUAAAUAAAAUUUAUUAAUAUAAUAUCAGCAAGUGUUAAAUAUAAUGAUCAGAUACCAUUAUAUUUUUAGAAAGAGAAAAUAUGUUUAAACCUUAAAAACGGCGUUACUAAAAAUAAUAAUCACAAAUCUUGAAAUAUAAAAAAUAAAUUUUUUAAUAUAAUUAAAAUUUAAUUUGAAAGCCGAGCUGGAUAAAAUUCUAAUUUUAGAUAAUGGUACCAACAACAAAUCAAUAUUUAAAUUAAAAUUAAUCUAAAUUUAAUAUAAUCAAAUUGGACUCUAAUAUUAAAUUUAAUAUAAUCAAGGUUCAUGAACUUUAUACCCUAUGCUUUACGUAAUUGAAAAAAAAAUCAUUGGACAUAAAAGUCUACGAAAAGUUUCACUAUAUUAAUAAAUAAAUAAAUAAAAAAUAUUGCUACAAGAUUACAACACAAAGUUACAAUAAGAGCUUAUAACUUAACAAAGGCUAUCAAUAAAUAAUCUCAAACAAACUAAAGAGAAAUAUUGAGAGUCCCACCAAAUAGUGAUUGCCUUUAAAAGUUAAAAACUCGAAGUUAUAGUAUCUCAAAUGAAAUUAAACCAUGAACAUUAAAUUUUUCGAGUCUACUAGCUACUGUAAAAAAUUGAGCUCCAACGGACAACAAAUGAACCUUUGAUCGAAGAAAAUACGAAAAUUAGUCUCGGUAAAUCAAGCUGCCAAACUUACUUUUUAUCUUAUCUUUAAUUUGUAAUAAAAUUCAAAAUUAAGGUUUUGUUUGUUUCACUUAGAACAACUUUCAAAAAAUUAAUUUUGGAAAAUGGAUUGAUUUUUCGAAAUAGAUGAUAUUUUAUUGUGUAAAAAUUUUAUUUGUUGUUUGAUGAACUUUUUUUUAAAUCAUUUUUUUAGAAUUAUUUUUAGUGAAACAAAUAUAUCAUAAAUAUAUUUGUUACAAAAUAUUAUAUUAGUAUUUUCUUUUGACAAUUAAAGUUUAUUUUAUGAUAAGACAAUAUUUUAUAAUAAUUAAUAUCAUAUAUACUUAAUAAUAAAUCAUGUCUAAUUAAAAUUUAAGUUAAAUUAAAUAUAUUAAUAAAGCUACAUAUAAUCAUAUUUUAUAUAAUUAAAAUAUUAAUAUAAAUAUUUUUCAAUAAGAUAUUAAAGAAUAUUUAAAAUUUAAAUUUAUUAUUACUAAAAUUAAUUAUUAAAAUAAAAAUGUAAUAUUAAAUAAUUUAUCUAAUGAUAAGUUAUAUUAAUAAUUUAUUAUAUCAUUAAAUAAAAAUAAUUAAAUAUGUAUGUUUAAUAAUAUUAUGUUAUAAUAUUCAUUAUUAAUAUCUUAAUAUUCUUAAACAGCCGUGUCUCAAAGAUGGUUGUGAUGGUGAUGUGAUGAUGCAGCCCCCCUUCUUACAAUUACAAUAAUUUUUAGUGCAAUAAUUAAAGUUGCUGAGUGGUAAAGUAAACUUCUUUUGACUGAGAUGCAUGUAAUAUAUGGAUGUUGAGGUUUUAGACUGCGCCAUCUUUAAAGGGGUUAAAUUAUAUAUUUAUAUAAUAUGAUUAUUGUUUAUGAAUAUAAUAUUAUAGAUAAGUUUUUAUACAUAUUAAUAUGUAUUUUAUUUUAAUGUUAAUAUGUAGUUUUUUAGAUGUGGAUUCACCUAUAUAAUGAUAUGAACUCAUUAUGCAGUCUCAUGAAAUAUGCAAACACAUAUAGUGUAAAUAUAAAGUAUGAACCACCAAAAGUACAGAUCAACACCUAAUUGAAUAAUUGGAUAACAGAUAGGUAAUAAUAAAUAUCAUUCACUAUCCCCUCUUGUUUUAAUUUAUUUUAUUUCCAGUGAGUUAUUUUUUUUAUGAUAAAUUUGCAACAAAUGUUUUUAUCAUUAUUUUGUUGGUAAAUGAUAAUAAGAUUAAAUUUACUUUCGUAAGCUCCUUCAAUUCUUUGGAGUUAGUGGUUUUUUAUUCUGAUCUUUUUUUCUUAUUAAAUUUUUUAUAAUAAAUGUGUUUAUAGAUGAGGUUAGAUUAUAAUUGAAUUAUUUUAUAGCAUUAACAUAAUUUAGAUGGAUUAAAAUUUAUUCUACUAAAAAUAUAAAUUUAAAAUUUUACUUCAAUUUAUCUUAAUUUAUAAAUGAUGAAUUUAAAUUUACUUUUUCCCCAUUAUAUUCAAUUUUCCACAUAAUAUUUGGCCUAGAACAAAAACUAGAACAAUAAAACAAAUAUAAACUAUGCUACAAAGAGUAUACAGCUACAGAAAGCUGAAAUGUUUUCCAAAAAUUAUAUUGUUAACUUUUAAAAAAAAUAUUUUAGCUAUUUAUCAUCAUGAAGAAAAAAGAUACAGUCAUGCACCUGGCCUCAUGCUUCAACACCUCAACCUAGAUUCUCAUCACCUGUAUUUAUCAUCGAUUCAGAUCUUUAUUUUUACUAUAUUCUAGAUCUCCCUAUAAAUAUAUCUUCAAACUUCCUUUGGUUAAGUUCAUUCAUAGAUGGGUGAGUAAACUUGAGCUUCAGCUUUCCACAAACACCUUAAUUUGAAGACACUGUUCUCUCAUGCUAAAAACCACAUGGACGUUUACCAUGUAAUUAGAGAGUUGGUUUCAUUGCUUGUUGUUGGGUUAUUAAUGAUAUGGGGAUGGAGAGCUUUAAACUGGGUAUGGCUGGCUCCAAAGAGGCUCGAAAGGUGCUUGAGACAACAGGGUUUAGCAGGGAAUUCUUACAGGUUCCUUUCUGGUGACAUAAAAGAGCUCUUCACUAUGAGCAGACAAACAAGAGCCAAACCUAUGCCUCUUAGUGAUGAUAUUGGGCCUUAUGUUGUUCCUUUUCAACAUCAAACUGUCAACCAGUAUGGUAUGUUUUUUUGUUUAAUCUGCAAUUUAUGAUAAUUCUUUUUUAUUUAUGUAUGGAAUUUAUUGGGAGGAAAUGCAGGAAAGAAUUCAUUUACGUGGUUUGGUCCAAGACCAAGGGUGAACAUUACGGACCCUGAAAAAAUAAAAGAAAUACUUAACAAAUUUAAUGACUUCCAGAAGGUACGUACCAAUCCACUUGUUCAUUUGCUUGUAAGCGGCCUUGUUAACCUCGAAGGAGACCGAUGGAGCAAGCAUAGAAAAAUCAUAAACCCUGCAUUUCAUCAAGAUAAGUUGAAGGUAUAGAAUAGUGAUGGGUACUCAGACUUUAAAGAAAACAUCAUACUUAAACCUAUGCUUUUCUGACUUAGAAAAUAAUUGGAUGCAGAAUAUGUUGCCAGCAUUUUAUCAAAGUUGUAGUGACAUGUCAAGCAAAUGGGAGAAGAUGGUGUGUACAGAAGGAUACUGUGAGUUAGAUGUGUGGCCUUAUCUCGUAGAUUUGACAAGAGAUGUGAUUUCCCGAUCUGCUUUUGGAAGCAGCUUCGAAGAAGGCAAACGAAUUUUCCAAUUACCAGAGGACCAACUCGUUCUCACAAUCAAAUUAAUACAAACUGUUUACAUUCCAGGAUGGAGGUAACCCUCAACUUAAUUUACUUGAAAAAGGUUGCAAAUGUUGGAAUUCGCUAAAAGCGUGUUUGUUUUCUUGAAGGUUUUUGCCAACAAAGACAAACGGGGAGAUGAAGAUGAAAUACAAAGACAUAAAAGAGUCGCUUAGGGAAAUGAUAAAGAGAAGAGAGAAGGCAAUUAAAGCAAGGGAAGAGAGCAAUGAGGACUUGUUGGACAUACUUGUGGAAUCCAAUAUCAGAGAAAUGGAAGCAAAGAAUAUGGGGAUGAGCAUUGAGGAUGUGAUUGAGGAAUGCAAGCUGUUUUACUUUGCUGGCCAAGGGACCACUUCGGUCUUGCUGGUGUGGACUAUGGUUUUAUUAGCAAGGCAUCCCGAUUGGCAAAGUAAAGCAAGAGACGAGGUUUUGCAUGUUUUGGGUGACAGUAAACCUGAUGCUGAUGGCCUUAAUCGUCUCAAAGUUGUAAGUCCCUAGCAUGUCUUUUGAAGGUCCGAUCAAUGAGGUCGACAACUCAAAAACUUGGUUUCUUUGUUUCGCUAAUUCUACAGGUAACAAUGAUAUUGUACGAGGUUCUAAGGUUGUACCCACCAGUGGUUGAGCUAGGACGUUCCGUUCCAAAAGAAAUAAAACUGGGAAAUUUGUUGUUACCAGCAGGAACAGACGUUUUGGUUCCAAUCCUGCAGAUCCACCAUGACAAAGAUCUUUGGGGCGACGACGCACGGGAAUUUAAGCCAGAGCGGUUCACGGAAGGAGUUUCCAAAGCAACAAAGAGUCAAGUCACGUUUCUGCCAUUCGGAUGGGGUCCUAGGAUCUGCAUUGGCCAAAACUUUGCCAUGAUGGAAGCCAAAAUGGCGAUGGCUAUGAUUCUCCAACGCUUCUGGUUCGAGCUUUCCCCUUCCUAUGCUCACUCUCCUUACAGCAUGGCAACUCUUCGUCCACAGCAUGGUGCACAGAUAAUUUUACAUAAACUUGGCUCUAAUUGAAUUGUUAUGUAAAUAAAUCUUUGUGAAAAUAUAUAGCUUGUUAGUGUAUCGUCAAAGUCCGGUGUCUGUAAUGGUACAAUUCCGAUGCAUGAAUAGUAAAUUUUGAGAUGUUUAGUGAAGUCCGAAAUAAUAUGCAGAAAUUGAGUGUCUUGAAUGGAUGUAGUAUUUAAUGGUGGACAUAGCUGGGGGACUAAUGUGGUAAUUAUCGAACAAAUAAUUGCAUAUGGUACAAAGACUUGUAUGGAAAUUAGAGCAGGGGGAGUAGAAAAUGACUACUUUGCUUUGGGCAUCAAUUUAGAAAGAUUUAAAGUACAAAUGUAUUAUUAGUUUAAGGGAUUUGUUUUAAAGAAGGAAUGACAAUUAAACCUUAUGAUUGAUUUGUGGAAAGGAAUCGAUGAUGGGAUGAUUACUUUUAGUGGUAAAAAAAACUAUUAAGGAGGUUAUUAUAUUUGUUAUCACCGGCCCAAAAUUUAAAUGUAGUCACGUCAAAUUAUAUCGAGCUCGCAAUAUGAGUUCACGGACCAAGUUUGCAUGAUAAUAGGUGUUCACAUAAAGGUAUUUAUAGUUUACUGCAAAGUCACAUGUGAGAUCGUGCAUUGGAACCGAAUAGACAUGUUUUAUGUUUAGAAUAUGAUACGUGUCUAUGUGCAUAGAAUCUACCUAGUAUAUCAUAUCAAUGAAUAGUAUCAAUUGCGGAGCCAAAAUUUUUUUGAGGGGUAAGAAUUAAAUUGUAUAUUUUUACUAAAAUAAAAAUUCAAUUUUACUAUUUUAAUAGUUUAUUUCUUUUUAAUUUUUAAAUGAUUAAAUCAAAUUUUUAUAAAUUUUUAGAGAUCAAAAUAUAAUUUUAUCAUUACUAAUUUAAAAUUUUAUAAAUUAUAAAGUAUUUAAAUAAAAAAAUUUCCUAUUUUAGGGUGACCAAGGUCCUGCCAACUUCCUACUCGAUCACUGAACAGUAUAAAUAAAUACCAUCAUCUAAAAUACUCAAGAAAAACACUCAAGGAUAAAUAGAGAGAUGUUGGGUAAGUGUCCAAAAUAUGAUUUAAGUGAAGAUACGUGUGGUAGGUGUCAUGGAAAUGUAAAGACAAGAAUCCCACUAAUGUAUGGGAUGUGUACACUUGAAUGUAGGGAGCAAAGAGGAGCGAAUCAUUGUGGUAACAUUUGGACAAGAAAUAAUGAACAAAAUGAAAGGAGAGGAAGCUAGUAAAAGAUUUUUUUGGGUCAUAUAAUUUGUUUGGUAUAUAUUUUUUUAAUUUUUAAAUAUCAUUUUGGAGUUGAAUUAUAGUUUCUUUUUAUGUUUUAAAACAUAAUUAUUUUAUUUUUAGAGUGUCAAAGUAGAGGUGAGCAUGGAUCAGACUACUCGGCUCGGCCGGAAGAUCUGUCUGAAAUGUGAGAGGUUUGAGCAAAAAUAUAGGCAAAAAAAAUGGGCUUGGACAAAAAAUAUAAGGCUCGUUUAGAAAAUGGGUCGGGCCUUGAGUAAGACAUUUUUGGCCUCGAGCCUGGCCCGGCUUGAAUUCACUAAAGGACAAAAAAAAUUAAUUUUUUAAAUAUUAUUUUCUUGUUAUUUUCUUCCUAUUUUGCUACCAUUGUACUAUUAUGUUACUACUAUUUUGUUGUUAUUGUUUGGAUAUUGUAUAAACCUUAUUUUAUUGUUAAUUUUGUUAUUAUUUUAAAGACAUUUGUUAAUUUUGUUAUUAUUUUAGAGACAUUUGCUUGUUAAGUUGCAUCUAUCUUAGUGUUAUUUAAGUAUACAUAUUUUUUAAAAUUUAUUUUCAAUUUGUUGGAAAAUAUUUAUUUUAUAUUUUUAGUAUUUUAGAUGUAUUAUAUAUAUUUUAAAAUUAUAUAAAAAUUAAUAUGGACAGGAGGGUCGAGCCCGAGUUUUAGCAUUUUUAUUCGGGUUAGGCUUGGACAAAAUUUUAAGCCCAUUUUUUGGGCCGAGCCUAACAAACAGUCUUGAAUUUUUAGUUGAGCUUGGCCCGGCCCAUGCUCACCUCUAGUUCAAAGCUGCCCUCGCUUUGCAUUUCUUUGAGAUUCAGUUUUAUCUACUGUUGAUUGGCCACUCAAUUGAGGGUUGAAUAGAAAGAUUUGGUGAAGCAAGCUAAGCUAUCAAUCAAGGUUGGAGAAAGCUUAGGAGAUCACAAUGCAUAAUUAUUUAAAUGUAAUUCUAAUAUUUAAAUAAAAUUUAUUAAUUUAGUAUUAACAAGCCUUAAAUGUAAUGAUCAUAUACUAUUACAUUUUCAAGAAGAAAAAAUAUGUUUGAACCUUAAAAACAACAUUAUUAAAAAUAAUAAUCACAAAUCUUAAAAUAUAAAAAAUAUAAUUAAAAAUUAAUUUUAAACUCGAGCUGUAACAGCCCAAAUUUCAGUGGUGUCGGAAUAGUGAUGUGAGAUCACUAAAUACGACAUGUGAGUUUAGAUAUUAGUAAGUAAAAGUUAAGUGUGAUUUUAGAAAUAUUUUUGAAUUAGUGAAAUUGUGAAUUAAAGAAAAUUUCUAGAUAAAAACGAGGUAUCGAGACCUCUAAUUCAUAAACCAAGCCAUAAAUAUUUUUAGAAAUAUUUAUGGAGUGUUACUAAGUUAGUAUUAAAGUUUUGUUAAGAGAUUUUAACAUUUCAGUAAUUAAUUGAAGAAAAAUGACUAAAUUGAAUAAAGUGUAAAACUAUCAAAUAUGAUUAAAUAGCUUAAGAGAUCAUUAAGGAAUGAGUUAAAAGGUAAAUAGACCCAAAUUAGGUGGGUUGGACGGCAUGAGUGUGCAGGAAAUGUAAAAAAAUCAAGUGUGAACAAAGGGCAAAAGUGAAAAUAGGGUAAAAUUUAAUUGUAAAAUAUGAUGUAGUUGGUAAUUUUAGAGAAUUCAUCAUUUUUCUUCAUCUUCAUCAGCUAAAAACACCAUUAGAGAGCUUUUAAGAAGCUGGUUUUAUAUUUUACAGCAUGUAAGUUCAAUUCUUGAUUAUUUAGUUCAAUUCUUGAUUAUUUCUUGUAAUUUUUGUGUUUUUUGAGACUUUUACAAUUGGGUCCUACUAUUUAACUUAUUAGUUUUUGCUUUUAUGAAUGGUUUAGAAAGUUUCCAUAAAUAAGAGCUGAAAUUUUAUGAUGAUUUAUUAUGGAAUUGGGACUGUAAGUUUAUUAUAUGAUGAUUUUAUGAAGAGAUUUUAUAAGAAUUGAUUUUUAGGACCUAAUUGUGAAAGUCGUUGUAAUUAGGGUUUUGUGUUAAAACUUUGAAUUUCAAAGGCUUGGAAGUAGUUAUAAUGUUUAGAUAAAAUGAUAUUUUAGAAUAAUUAGUUCAAUUGAUGAACAAAUUGAGCAAUGACUAAAUUGUAAAAAUUGAAAAGUUUGAGAAAAAAUGUAAUUUCAAAAAUUAAAGGGUAUAAAUUGUGAAGUAGAAUAGAAUUGAAAUAGAUGCUCAUGAGGGAAUGAUUUUAUAAUUACAGAUCAAGAAAACGAAGUGAAUCGUGGAAAGGAGAAAUUGCAAGAAUAUUCCCUGAAAUUUCUACGACUUUUGCAAAUCAGCCCAGUUAAGUUCAUAUGGAAAAAAUUAAUGUUUUGUUAUGAAAAUCUUAUGAUUUGAUAAGGUAUAUUAUUAUAGAUGAAUACUAUCAAAUUGUAAUAAUUAUGAAAUAAUAUUUAAGUAAAAGUACAAAUUAGUUGGAACAAUGGAUUUGAGUGCUUUCGUUCUGUGACCAUGAUGAAUUGAUGGAAAAGGUGUGAUAUGUGCGCCCGUAUAAGACCAUAGCUGGGCUAUGGCAUCGGUGCAAUGUGAUAUGUGCUCCUGUAUAAGACUAUAGUUGGGCUAUGGCAUCGGUGUGAUGUGAUAAUGUGCUUCUGUAAAAGACCAUAUUUGGGAUAUGGCAUCGGUAUGAUAUGUGACCCGUGUAAGACCAUAACUGGGCUAUGGCUUCGGUGUGUGAUAUGUGACUAUGUGCAAGUCUAUGGUUUUACCAUGGCAAUGUGAUAAUGAAGCACUCAAUUCCAUUAUUGUUUCCUAAUUUGACUAUGAAAGUAAAUGAGAAAUAGGCCCAAGAGAUCUAAAAUUGGUGAAUAGUGACAUUGAAAUCAAUCAAAUGAGUUUAUUAAUGAUUUGUGAUUUACAGGAAGGUUUAGUGAAAUUAAAUAUUAUAUGAUUGUGUGCAAUAUUCGGUAAGAUUUAUUUUUCUGUGCUUAUGAGCGUACUAAGCUUCAAUAAGCUUACUUGUGUAUGUUAUUUGUUUUGUAGAUUGACUUAUAUACAUACGGAGGAUUGGAUCUACAUCGAGGAUCACGCUAUCCAGAUUUAUUCUGGUAGAUUUUGUUAAACAACUUUUUGAUUUAUAUGGCAUGUAUAGGGUUGAUUUGAUAAUGUAAUAGUAUGAAUGAUUAAGUAUGUAAAGUAAAUUGAAUGCGAUGGUUGUGUUUGAUAAUGAAAUAUACAUGUUUUGGCUUGAAAUAGUUGAUUUGUUGGACUUUAUUAGUGUAUAAAUGUGAUUUUGUGCAGGAAAAUAUUAAAAGGGUGAGAAAAGAGGCAUUAAAUGACCUAUUUUCGUCCACACGAGUAGGCGCAGGACAUGUGUGACACACAACCUACUAUAUGGGCAUGUGAUAAGAUCGUGUGUCCCUUGCAACUUAAAAAUGAGAAUCAGAAUGUCCAGGUUUAGGCACAUGGCCUAACAUAAGGGCGUGUGGCUUGACCGUGUGACACACCCACGGGCUUUAACAUGGCCGUGUGAUACGGCUGUGUGAAGUCUGCACUUAAAAUGUGAAAUUUAAUUAUCACACGGCCUAGCAACACAGACGUGUGCUCAGGCUGUGUGACUCAAGUUUCUUCUUGAAUGCAAGUCAGAGAGCUCCACGGGCUUGGGACAUAGGCGUGCGUGACCACACAGCCUACCCACACGGGCGUGUCCCUAUCCACACGGGCGUGUGGCCCUGUUUCAUGAUAAUUUUUUUUAAAAUUUUCUAAAAGCUCUGAAAGUUCUUAGUUUGGUCCCGAUCUAUCUCCAACAUAUAUUUUGGGCCUCGUAGGCCCGUAUAAGGGACUUUAAGCAUGUGUUUGAAUAAUAGUUAAUUUGGAAUGAAGUUUUAUGAUCUGGUUUUGGGUGUUUAAUUGUGUUUAAGCCUGGUAAUACCUCGUACCCUGUUCCGGCGUAGAAUACGAGUAAGGGGUGUUACACAAGCUGGAUAAAAUUCUAAUUUUUGAUAAUGAUAGUAAUAACAAAUCAAUAUUUAAAUUAAAAUUAAAAUUAAUUUAGUAUAAUAUAAUUUUUGAGUUUUCGGCAAAGGCACUCAAUGAAUGCUUGGAAAGAAAUAAUGCAACUUAGUGAAAUAAUGCAACUUAGUGAUAGCUUUUGUUGGAGUUAUAUGCUGUUAUUAUAGUUUUAUGUUUUUAUCUUGCAAAAACAACAUAUUGGAGUUUUCGGUGGACUUUUAAGUUUCAUGAUUUUUUCCUAAUACUUUACGUGAAAAAAAUAAUGGUACUUAAAAAUCUAACAAAAGCUUCUCUAUAAUUUUUAUAAAAAAAACAUUGCUACAAUAUUACAACACAAAGUUACAAUAAUAGCUUAUAACUCAACAAAGGCUAUCAAUAAAUAAUCUCAAGCAAGUUAAAGAGAAAUGUUGAGAAUACCACCCAAAUAGUGACCGACUUUAAAAGUUGAAAACCCAAAGCUAUAGUAUCUCAAACGAAAUCAAACCAUAAAUAUUAAAAUUUUUCGAGUCUAUUAGCUACUGUAAAAAAAUUUAGCUCCAACAGACACCAAAUGAGCCUUUGAUUGAAGAAAAUACGAAAACUAGUCUAGGUAAACCAAGCUGCCAAACUUACUUAUCUUAUCUUUAAUCUGCCGUGAAAUUCAAAACUAAGUUUUUGUUUAUUUCACUUAGAACGACUUUCAAAAAAUUAUUUUUGAAAAAUGGAUUGAUUUUUUUGAAAUAGAUGAUAUUUUAUUGUGUUGAAACUUUAUUCGUUGUCUGAAAACUUUUUUUAAAUUAUUUUCUUAGAGUUAUUUUUAGUGAAAUAAACAUAACAUAAAUAUAUUUGUUAUAAAAAAUUAUAUUAGUAUUUUCUUUUGACAAUUAAAAUUUAUUUUAUGAUAAGACAAUAUUUUACAAUAAUUAAUAUCAUAUAUAUACGUAAUAAUAAAUCAUGUUUAAUUAAAAUUUAAUUUAAAUUAAAUAUAUUAAUAAAGCUACAUAUAAUCAUAUUUUAUAUAAUUAAAAUAUUAAUAUAAAUAUUUUUCAAUAAUAUAUUAAAAAUAUUAAAAUUUAAUAUUAUUAUUACUAAAAUUAAUUAUUAAAAUAAAAAAUGUAAUAUUAAAUAAUUUAUUGUAUUAUUAAAUAUAAAUAAUUAAAUAUGUAUUUUAUAAUAUUUUAAUAUUCUUAAACAGCCAUGUUUUAUAGAUGCUGGUGAUCGUGAUGGUGCAGGCCCUUCUUGUUAUAAUUACUAUAAUUUCUAGUGCAAUAAUUGAAGUUGUUGGGUGGUCAAGCAAACCUCUUUUUGACUGAAAUGCAUGUAAUAUACUGGGCGAAUCUAGAGGGGUUCGCGUGGUACCGGUCUCUCUAAAGUUUAAAAUUGUUAUUUAAAUUUUUAAUUUUUUUAAAAAAUUUUAAAUUUAAUAAAAGUAAAAUUAUAUUUUUAGCUCUUAAAAUUAUAAAAAUUAUAUUUAAUCCUUUAAAAGUUAUAAAUAUAUAGACUAAAAAAUUAAAAUUUCAUUCGGCUUAUUAAAAGAUUAUUCUGGCUUUGCUCUUGAUACCGAUGUUGAAUAUUUUAGAGUAUGUUUCUUUAACAUGGUUCAAUUAUAUAUUUAUAUAAUAUAAUUAUUGUUCAUGAAUGUGACAUCGUAACUAAGUUCAUAUGCAUGUCAACAUAUAUAUUAUUUUAGGGUUAAUACGUUUUUUUUAAAUGUGAGUUCACCUAUAUAAUGGUAUGAACCCGUCACGCGGUCUCAUGAAAUAUGCGAAUAUAUGUCGUGCGAACACAAAGUACGAACUACACAGAAUAAGGACUAAGACCCAAUUGGGUAAUCGGAUACGGAUCAGUAAUAAUGAAUUUCAUAACAGCCACCAUCCCCUCAUUUGUUCUAAUUUAUUUUAUUUCCAGUGAGUUAUUGUUUAUGAUAAUUCACAACAAAUGUUUUUGUCAUUAUUUUUUGGUAAAUAAUAAUAAGAUUAAACUCUACUUUCUUAAGCUCCUUCAAUUCUUUGGACGUUGGUGGUUUUUUAUUCUAAUCUUAUUUUCUUAUUAAUUUCUUUUUUAUAAUAAAUGUGUUUAUAGAUUAAAUUGGAUUAUAAUUGAGUCAUUGUAUGGAAUUAACAUAAUUCAUAUCGAUUAAAAUUUAUUCGACUGGAAAUACAAAUUUAAAAUUUUACUUCAAUUUAUCUUAAUUUAUAAAUGAUGAAUUUAAAUUUAUUUUUUUCUCUCAUUAUAUUCAGUUUUCCGGAUAAGAUUUGGCCCAGAACAAAAACUAUAACAAUAAAACAAAUAUAUAUGUUUUCCAAAAAUUAAAUUGUUAACUUUUAAAAAAAUAUUUUUAGCUAUUUCUCAUCAUUGAGAAUAAAAAUAAGGUCACCUCGCCUCAUGCUUCAACAACUCAACCUAGAUUCUCAUCACCUGUAUUUAUCAUCGAUUCAGAUUUUUAUUUUUACUAUAUUCAAGAACUACCUAUAAAUCUAUCUUCAAACUUCCUCUGGUUAAGUUCAUUCAUAGAUAGGUGAGUAAACUUGAGCUUCAGCUUCAACAAACACCAUAGUUUGAAGACACAAUUCUCUCAUACUAAAAAUAUGGAAGUUUACCAUGUAAUUAGAGAUUUGGUCUCAUUGCUUGUUGUUGGGUUAUUAAUGAUAUGGGGAUGGAGAACUUUAAACUGGGUAUGGUUGGCCCCAAAGAGGCUCGAAAGGUGCUUGAGACAACAGGGUUUUGCAGGGAAUACUUACAGGUUCCUUUCCGGUGACAUAAAACAGCUCUCAACUAUGGGCAGACAAACAAAAGCCAAACCUAUGCCUCUUAGUGAUGAUAUUGGGCCUUAUUGUUGGAGUUUCAACACACUUUAACCGGGUAAAGUAAGAAUUUUAAACAGAGCACUAGCAGCAACGUAUUAUACCCGGAUAAAAUAUGAAGGAAAAAUGCUUGGAGUUCAAGCUUUUAGCUACUGUCAAGAAUGAAGAACAGAACUUAGAAGUUUUUAGAAGGCAAAAAAAGAUGGAGCAUAUGGAAGAAAAUCUGAUGAUUUCAUUCAUUGAAACAUUGGCUUAAAGCCAUUACAUAUACCAGUCAUUUGGCUGGUCAAAAGAUUAACAAAUCCUUUACCUAAACACUACCUAACUCCACUAAUUACAUAGGGACUAGGUGAUUUUACUUGCAAACAUAAACAAAGAUGGUGAUCAGCUCUAUCACCAUCAAAUUACAUCAAACAUAAACUAAACUAAGUUCAAAAUGAACUAGAUUACAAAAGCAUAGUUAAACGGUAACAAAAUGUAACUGAGACGGAAAAGAAGUAUCAACCCCUUCAGUUGCAUGUAUUUUACUCGGGUAACUUGUGUGUAUGAAUUCUUGCACAUACUUUACCCGGAUAACAUAAGUGCAUUAAUUUUCACGUGCUUGAAUCUGCAUGGGCUGCAUGGGAACUAACUUCAACACUUAUGUUGCUCCUUUUCUUCAUCAAAUUGUCAACCAGUAUGGUUUGUUUUUUAUUUAUUUAUUUAAUCUUCAAUUUAUGAUAAUUCUUUGUUAUUUAUGUAUGGAAUUUAUUGGGAGGAAAUGCAGGAAAGAAUUCAUUUACGUGGUUUGGUCCAAGACCAAGGGUGAACAUUACUGACCCUGAAAAAAUAAGAGAAAUACUUAAACAAAUUUAAUGACUUCCAGAAGGUACAUACCAAUCCACUGCUUAAUUUGCUUGUAAGCGGCCUUGUUAACCUCGAAGGAGACCGAUGGAGCAAGCGUAGAAAAAUCAUAAACCCUGCAUUUCAUCAAGAUAAGUUGAAGGUAUAGAAUAGUGAUGGGUACUCAAGACUUUACAGAAAACAUCAUACUUAAACCUAUGCUUUUCUGAUUUAGAAAUAAUUGGGUGCAGAAUAUGUUGCCAGCAUUUUAUCAAAGUUGUAGUGACAUGUUAAGCAAAUGGGAGAAGAUGGUGUGUACAGAAGGAUACAGUGAGUUAGAUGUGUGGCCUUAUCUCGUAGAUUUGACAAGGGAUGUGAUUUCCCGAUCUGCUUUUGGAAGCAGCUUCGAAGAAGGCAAGCGAAUUUUCCAAUUACUAGGCGACCAACUCGUUCUCAGAAUCAAAUUAAUACAGAUUGUUUACAUUCCAGGAUGGAGGUAACCCUCAACUUAAUUUACUUGAAAAAGGUUGCAAAUGUUGGAAUUCGCUAAAAUCGUGUUUGUUUUCUUGAAGGUUUUUGCCAACAAAGACAAACAGGUAGAUGAAGAUGAAACAGAGACACAUAAAAGAGUCGCUUAGGGAAAUGAUAAAGAGAAGAGAGAAGGCAAUUAAAGCAAGGGAAGAGAGCAAUGAGGACUUGUUGGACAUACUUGUGGAAUCCAAUAUCAGAGAAAUGGAAGCAAAGAAUAUGGGGAUGAGCAUUGAGGACGUGAUUGAGGAAUGCAAGCUGUUUUACUUUGCUGGCCAAGAGACCACUUCAGUCUUACUGGUGUGGACUAUGGUUUUAUUAGCAAGGUAUGCCGAUUGGCAAAGUAAAGCAAGAGAGGAGGUUUUGCAUGUUUUGGGUGACAGUAAACCUGAUGUUGAUGGCCUUAAUCGUCUCAAAGUUGUAAGUCCCUAGCAUGUCUUUUGAAGGUCCGAUCAAUGAGGUCGACAACUCAAAAACUUGGUUUCUUUUUUCGCUAAUUCUACAGGUAACAAUGAUAUUGUACGAGGUUCUAAGGCUGUACCCAUCAGCGACUGAGCUAGGACGUUCCGUUCCAGAAGAAAUAAAACUGGGAAAUUUGUUGUUGCCAGCAGGAACAGAAGUUUCGGUUCCUAUCCUGCUGAUCCACCAUGACAAAGAUCUUUGGGGCGACGACGCACGGGAAUUUAAGCCAGAGCGGUUCGCGGAAGGGGUUUCCAAAGCAACAAAGAGUCAAGUCACGUUUCUGCCAUUCGGAUGGGGUCCUAGGAUUUGCAUUGGCCAAAAUUUUGCUAUGAUGGAAGCCAAAAUGGCAGUGGCUAUGAUUCUCCAACACUUCUGGUUCGAGCUUUCCCCUUCCUAUGCUCACACUCCUUGCAGCAUGGUAACGCUUCGUCCACAGCAUGGUGCACAGAUAAUUUUACAUAAACUUGGCUGUAAUUGAAUAGUUAUGUAAACAAAUUUUUGUGAAAAUAUAGCGUUUUAGUGUAUCGUCAAAGUCCGGUGUCUGUAAUGGUACAAUUCCGAUGCAUGAAUAGUAAAUUUUGAGAUGUUUGGUGAAGUCCGAAAUAAUAUGCAGAAAUUGAGUGUCUUGAAUGGAUGUAGUAUUUAAUGGUGGACAUAGUUGAGGGACUAAUGUGGUAAUUAUCAAACAAAUAAUUGCAUAUGGUACAAAGACUUGUAUGGAAAUUAGAGCUGGGGGAGUAGAAAAUGACUACUUUGCUUUGGGCAUCAAUUUAGAAAGAUUUAAAGUACAAAUGUAUUAUUAGUUUAAGGGAUUUGUUUUAAAGAAGGAAUGACAAUUAAACCUUAUGGUUGAUUUGUGGGAGGGAACCGAUGAUGGGAUAAUUACUCUUAGUGGUAAAAAAAAAAAACUAUUAAGGAGGAUAUUAUACUUGUUAUCACCGGCCAAAAUUCAAAUGGGUUUGGGUUGAAUUAUAUUGAGCUCGCAAGAUGAGUUCAUGGACCAAGCUUGCAUGAUAAUGGGUGUUCACAGAAAGGUAUCUAUAGUUUCCUGUAAAGUCACAUGUGAGAUCGUAUAUUGGGACCGCAUAAACAUGUUUUAUGUUUAGAAUAUGAUAUGUAUCUAUGUGCAUGGAAUCUACCUAGUAUAUUAUAUCAAUGAAUAGUAUCAAUUGCGGAGCCAAAAUUUUUUUUGAGAGGUCAGAAUUAAAUUGCAUAUUUUUACGAAAAUAAAAAUUCAAUUUCACUAUUUUAAUAGUUUAUUUCUUUUUAAUUUUUAAAUGAUUAAAUUAAAUUUUUAUAAAUUUUUAGGAGGUUGAAGUACAAUUAUAUCAUUACUAAUUUAAAAUUUUAUAAAUUAUAAAGGACUUAAAUGAAAAUUUUCCUAUUUUAAAGUGACUAUAAAUAAAUAAAUACCACCAUCUAAAAGACUUAAGAAAAACACUCAACAAUUGUUGAUAAAUAGAGAGAUGUUGGGUAAAUGUCCAAAAUAUGAUUUAAGUGAAGAUACGUGGGGUAGGCGUCAUGGAAAUGUAAAGACAAGAAUCCCACUAAUGUAUGGGAUGUGUACACUUGAAUGUAGGGAGCAAAGAGGAGCGAAUCAUUGUGGUAACAUUUGGACAAGAAACAUAAUGAACAAAAUGAAAGGAGAGGAAGCUAGUAAAAGAUUUUUUUGGGUCAUAUAAUUUGUUUGGUAUAUAUUUUUUUAAUUUUUAAAUAUCAUUUUAGAGUUGAAUUAUAUUUUCUUUUUAUGUUUUAAAACAUAAUUAUUCUAUUUUUAGAGGGUCAAAGUAGAGGUGAGCAUUGGUCGGGCUAUCCGGCCCGGCCUAAAGAUCUACUAGAAAUGUGAGAGGUUUGAAUAAAAAUAUAGGCCCGAAAAAUGGGUUUGGACAAAAAAUAUAAGGUUCGUUUAGAAAACGGGCCGAGCCUUGAGUAAGGCAUUUUUGACCUCGGGCCUAGCCCUGCCUGAAUUCACUAAAAGACAAAAAAAAUUAAUUUUUUAAUAUUAUUUUCUUGUUAUUUUCUCCCUAUUUUGCUAUCAUUUUACUAUUAUUUUGCUACUAUUUUGUUGUUAUUAUUUGGAUAUUAUAUAAAACUUAUUUUAUUGUUAAUUUUGUUAUUAUUUUAGAGACAUUUACUUGUUAAGUUGCAUCUAUCUUAGUGUUAUUUAAGUAUACAUAUUUUUUAAAAUUUAUUUUCAAUUUGUUGAGAAAUAUUUAUUUUGAUAUUUUGAGUAUUUUGGAUGUAUUAUAUAUAUUUUAAAAUUAUAUAAAAAUUAAUAUGGGCAGGCUGGGUCGAGUCCGAGUUUUAGCAUCUUUAUUUGGGUUGGGUUUGGACAAAAUUUUAAGCCCAUUUUUCAGGCUGAGCCUAACAAAUGAUUCUAAAUUUUUAGUUGAGCUCUCAGCCCGGCCUAUGCUCAUAUCUAGUUCAGAGCUGCCCUCACUUUGUAUUUCUUUGAAAUUCAGUCUUAUCUACUGUUGAUUGCCUACUCAAUUGAGGGUUGAGUAGAAAAAUUUGGCGAAGCAAGCAAAGCUAUCAAUCAAGGUUGGAGAAAGCUUAGGAGGUCACAAUGCAUAAUUAUUUAAAUGUAAUUCUAAUAUUUAAAUCAAAUUUAUUAAUAUAGUAUUAACAAGCCUUAAAUGUAAUGAUCAUAUACUAUUACAUUUUCAGGAAGAGAAAAUAUGUUUAAACUUUAAAAAUAACGUAAUUAAAAAUGAUAAUCAUAAAUCUUAAAACAUAAAAAAUAUAAUUAAAAAUUAAUUUUAAACCCUGGAUAAAAUUCUAGUUUUAGAUAAUGAUACUAAUAACAAAUCAAUAUUUAAAUUAAAAUUAAUAUUAAUUUAAUAUAAUUUUUGAGUCUUCAGCAAAGGCACUCAAUGAAUGCUUGGAAAGAAAUAAUGCAACUUGGUGAUAACUUUGUUGGAGUUAUAUGGUCUUAUUAUAGUUUUAUGUUUUUAUGUUGCAGAAAAAACAUAUUGGAAUUUUUCGUGGACUUUCAAGUUUCAUGAUCUUUUCUUAAUACUUUAUGUGAAAAAAAAUAAUGGGAUUUAAAAAUCUAUCAAAAAGCUUCUGUUGUAGGCCAAUUUUGGCUCAAAUACAACCCAAUUAUUCAAACCCCUUAAAACCCAAUACAAAAUAGCCCAACUACUAACCCUAGCCCAGACCAAUAAUAAAAAAUAGCAAAGAAAAAAAGAACCCUGGCCACCCCGUGAUGUUUGCCACCCCACGCCUCUGCAGCACCAUUCCCAGGCAUCACACACUCUCACCAACUCCUCCAUACCCUGCAAAAUGAGACAAACACCAAGACAGAAGCUGACAACACAAGAGCAGUAGCAAGAGGCUUAAAAUAUCGUUUUGAAAUGGCUAUAAGAGGGAGAUCCGAUUGUAAAAAUUGGGGGGGAUUCAAUAUGCAAAAAUUGUAUCACGAAUUUUGGCAAAUCAAAAGCAAAAAAAAAGCACAUAAAAAAGGUUGAAUUUUAUUUCCUUUUUUUGUUUCUUUAUUUUUUAUUUUCCUUUUUUUCUUCAAAAAAUCAGUUUUAAAACAAAAAAAAUAAAAAAAAGAAGAAAGGGGAUUUACCUGAACUUCGGAGCCGCGACAUCGGAGCCCUACUCCGUCGUUGAAAUCGGCUCUCAAAAAGGAAAAUGGGGGUCUCUCCCUUCAGAUUUUCGGGCUAAGAAAAUAGGGCCUUCAGGCGCCCCCAAAAUCGGGGUCAAAAGCCCCCAUUCAAGCAACCCCGACCACCACUUACGGUGGCUCCAUGGCGGCGGCAAUGAUGGGUAUAAACCCUAGCAAAAGGGGAAAUGAGGGAGAGAGAGCCAAGAAACUCUCUGUUUUUUUUGCUUUUCAAAAUGGGGGCUGGAAACACAAAAUAAAAAAAAGGGUUUUAAGUUAUUUGAAAAAAAAGGGCUGCACUUUAACUCGUUUAACAGGCCUAAUAUGUGCCUUUUAAUUGAAAGUGAGGGAAUUAUACAUUAGGUCCUUCUCAUUUGCGCAAACAUUCAAUCAUGCCACAUUUAUUUCACUUCCUUUUUAAUUUGGCUUUAAAACUUACGCAUAUUAGCAAUUCGGUCCCAUUUCUUUUUAUUUUAUUAUUUUCACCCCGAAUUUCUGUCUAGAGUUCAAAUUAGCCCCUUUUCGUCCUUUUCUUUUCUUUUAUAUUUUAUUUUAUUAUUUGAUAUUAUGGUAUUAUAAUUGUAUUUUAUUUUCUUGCAUAUUAUUUGCUAUUAUUAUUAUCACCUUCAUUCCAUUAUUAUUAUUGCUAUUGCUAAGUUUUUUGUUGUUUAUAUUUUUAUUUAUAUUAUUAGUAUAUUGUUAUUCCUUAGUUUAUUAUUAUUAUAUCAUUUUUUAUGUAUUUAUCUACAUUAUUAUUAUUAUUAUUAUUUUUGAACACAUCAUGCAUUUUAAAUUAUUACCAAUUUUAAAUAUUUUAUAUAUAUCAUUAUGUAGUAUUUAUUUUUAGAUUCUUAUACGUAUCUUGGUAUUUUAGAUUAUUACAUGUAUACCUAUAUAUAUAUAUCUUUUAUUUUAAACAUUUUUCUAUGCAUUAUCUUACAUCAAAUUUCUUUUUUUUCACGUUAUUCUUUCUAAAUAUUUUAUAUGUCAUUUGAACUAAAUUCUAUUUUUAAAAUUUUUAUAUAUUACUUAGUUACAUUAUUUUAUAUGAAAAUUAUUUUGAACUCUUUUAUUAUUUAUUGUAAACCUUUAUUAUUGUUAAUUUUAAGACUAUAUAGGUAUUUAUUAAAAAAAAUUCAUAAAUAUUAUUUUGGAUUUAUAUAUAUUUUUAUUUUUGAACAAUAUUUAUUUUAAAAUUUUCUUUUACACAUUUUAAGCUCUUUGGUAAAUUAUUUUAAAGUGUUCUUGUUAUUUUUUUUUGUAUUAUUCAUCUUAUUUCAUUUAACAUAUUGUUUAUUUGAAGUUUGCUUUAUAUAGGUUACUUUAUUUUAUGCCCAAAAUAUUAUAUAUAUUAAUUAUUAUAAAUUGUUUUAUAUUCUUUACUUUAAAUUGCCUUUUCAUUUUAAAAUUGUUUUAUGUAUUAUUUAUUUAAAACUGUCUUAUUAUUUUGAAUUGUUUUAUGCCCCAUUUUUUAGAGCUCAAUUUAUUUAUUUUUAUUUAUCACCCAUUAUACGUUAUUUCCUUAUACUAUUACAUAUUUUAUACUUAUAUAUACAUAUAUAUGUGUAUGCAUCAUUUGAUCUAAAAUUUUUGUAAAUAAAUGUAUCAUCUUUCCUUAAAUCAUUUUAUAUAUUUUAAAUAUCCAUUUUUCACUUUAUUUACUUUUAAAACUUAGUUAUGAUCAUGUUAAAUAGUUUUUAUAUCUUAUUCGUUUUAAUUGGCUUUAUACUAUAUAUUUUUAUAUUAUCACAUAUGUUAUUUCAUUUAUUUGUUUAUUUAUUUUUUUUCUCCUUGAUUACUAAUAUUAACAUUUAAAUAAUGCAUGUUGAGUGAUUAUUGUUAUUGCGUGUACCUUAAUUCAUUCACUUGCGUAUUUAUAUUUGUCGUACAUUUGUGAUGUUAUUCUUGUAUUAUUAUUUCAUGGUCUAUACUCCCUUUCAUUUUGUUUCGUUUAAAUCAUAUCGUGCAUCUACCUCAAAUGUAUUUGUCCAAACAUGGACCGUUUUAAUCCAAACAAAUGAUACACGUCGCUUAAGUAUCACACUUGCUAUGGUUUUUAAAAACAAAAAUUUCAAAAUGAGGCAAUGUUUCGCGUUUUAGAACAUCGAGAAAUUGUGCCCUAACUUAUGGGGUUUCGGUUUUCUCGUUGGUUCUAAAUGUCAAAGUAUCCUUUUGAGUUUUAAAAUACACGAAAUUUUAAUUAAAAUUAAAGAUACACCUAUGCUCGAGAAUUCAUGGUAUGGUGUCCUAACUUACGGGAUGUGAUGCUCCGAUAUCUUGAGAUAAGGAAAUCUUUAAACAAAUUGUUUUGAGCUAAUUCAAAAAUUUUAAAAUUGAUAUUGAUAGAAAAGAUCAUAUUUCAAAUUCAUUCCCGAUUUUUGAUUUUCGACAUUAAGACACUAACUAAUCAAUUCGGUACUAAUUUUUGGGCGUGUCGGGGGCGCUAAUCCUUCCUCGCACAUAACCGACUCCCAAAUUUGUUCUCUUGGAAUUCGUAGACCAAAAUGCCGUUUUACUAAACUAAAAUUGUUAAAACAAAGGUGAUCCGAUCACACCAAAUAAAGAUCGGUGGCGACUUUCGUUUUAAUUUUUGUUUCCAAACAAAGUCGACCCCAUCCUUCAAAAAUCGGUUUCGACAGCUUCACUAUAAUAAUAAUAAUAAUAAUAAAUUGUUACAAUAUUACAACACAAAGUUACAAUAAGAGUUUAUAACUCAACAAAGGCUAUUAAUAAAUAAUCUCACACAAGCUAAAGAAAAAUGUUGAGAAUACCACUCAAAUAGUGACUGACUUUAAAAGUUGAAAACCCGAAGCUAUAGUAUCUCAAACGAAAUCAAACCAUAAACAUUAAAAUUUUUCGAGUCUACCAGCUACUGUAAAAAAUUCAGCUCCAACAGACACCAAAUGAGCCUUUGAUCGAAGAAAAUAUGAAAAUUAGUUUGGGUAUACCAAGCUGCCAAACUUACUUAUCUUAUCUUUAAUUUACAGUGAAAUUCAAAACUAAAGUUUUUGUUUAUUUCACUUAAAAUAACUUUCAAAAAAUUAUUUUUGAAAAAUGGAUUGGUUUUUCGAAAUAGAUGAUAUUUUAUUGUGUUAGAAUAUUAUUCGUUGUUUGAAAACUUUUUUUAAAUCAUUUUCUUAGAGUUAUUUUUAGUGAAACAAACAUAACAUAAAUAUAUUUGUUACAAAAAAUUAUAUUAGUAUUUUCUUUUGACAAUUAAAAUUUAUUUUAUGAUAAGACAAUAUUUUAUAAUAGUUAAUAUCAUAUAUAUAUACACGUAAUAAUAAAUUAUGUUUAAUUAAAAAUUAAUUUAAAUUAAAUAUAUUAAUAAAGCUACAUAUAAUCAUAUUUUAUAUAAUUAAAAUAUUAAUAUAAAUAUUUUUUAAUAAUAUAUUAAAAAUAUUAAAAAUUUAAAAUUAUUAUUACUAAAAUUAAUUAUUAAAAUAAAAAAUGUAAUAUUAAAUAAUUUAUUCAAUGAUAAGUACUUAUAUUAAUAAUUUAUCGUAUUAUUAAAUAUAAAUAAUUAAAUAUGUAUGUUUAAUCAUAUUACGUUAUAAUAUUUUAAUAUUCUUAAAACAGUUUUAAAGAUGCUGGUGAUGGUGAUGCUGCAGGCCCUUCUUGUUAAUUUUUAGUGCAAUAAUUGAAGUUGUAGGGUGUGGUCAAGCAAACCUCUUUUGACUGAAAUGCAUGUGAUAUACCGGUAAGUGGCGUAUCUAGAGGGGGACUGGCGUUGCCCUCGCCCCCUCCUCCCCACCCCCCCCCCCCCCCCAAAAAAAAUUGAAAUUGUUAUUUAAAUUUUUUCAAAAAUUUUAAAUUAAUAAAAGUAACAUUAUACUUUAUCCUCUAAAAUUAUAAAAAUUCUAUUUAAUCCUUUAAAAAUUAUAAAUAUAUAGACUAUAAAAAAUUAAAAUUUCAUUCGACCCCCCUAAAAUAUUGUUCUGGCUUCGCCCUUGAUACCGAUGUUGAAUAUUUUAGAGUAUAUGUCUUCUUUAACAAGGUUAAAUUAUAUAUUUGUAUAAUAUAGUUAUUGUUCAUGGACGUGACAUCGUAACUAGGUUCUUAUGCAUGUUAACAUAUAUCCUAUUUUAGGGUUAACAUGUAUUUUUUAAAUGUGAAUUCAUCUGUAUAAUGAUAUGAACCCAUCACGCGAUCUCAUAAAAUAUGCGAAUAUAUGUCAUGCGAACACAAAAUACAAACCACACACAAUACAUAUCAAGACCCAAUUGUGUAAUUGGAUACGGAUCAGUAAUAAUGAAUUUUCAUAACAGCCACCAUCCCCUCUUUUUUUUCUAAUUUAUUUUAUUUCCAGUGAGUUAUUAUUUAUGAUAAUUCACAACAAAUGUUUUUGUCAUUAUUUUGUUGGUAAAUAAUAAUAAGAUUAAACUUUACUUUCUUAAGCUCCUUCAAUUCUUUGGACGUUGGUGGUUUUUAUUCUAAUCUUAUUUUCUUAUUAAUUUCUUUUUUAUACAUGUAUGGUAUUAACAUUAUAUCAAUUAAAAUUUAUUCGACUGAAAAUAUAAAUUUAAAAUUGUACUUCAAUUUAUCUUAAUUUAUAAAUGAUGAAUUUAAAUUUAUUUUUUUCCUCUCAUUAUAUUUUUCCGGAUAAUAUUUGGCCCUAGAACAAAAACUAAAACAAUAAAACAAAUAUAUAUGUUUUCCAAAAAUUAAAUUGUCAACUUUAAAAAUAUAUAUUUUUAGCUAUUUAUCAUCAUAGAGAAAAAAAAAAAAAAGGUCACCUAGCCUCAUGCUUCAACACCUCAACCUAGAUUCUCAUCACCUGUAUUUAUCAUUGAUUCAGAUUUUUAUUUUUACUAUAUUCAAGAACUACCUAUAACUAUAUCUUCAAACUUCCUCUGGUUAAGUUCAUUCAUAGAUAGGUGAGUAAACUUGAGCUUCAGCUUCAACAAACACCAUAGUUUGAAGACACAAUUCUCUCAUACUAAAAAUAUGGAAGUUUACCAUGUAAUUAGAGAUUUGGUCUCAUUGCUUGUUGUUGGGUUAUUAAUGAUAUGGGGAUGGAGAGCUUUAAACUGGGUAUGGUUGGCCCCAAAGAGGCUCGAACGGUGCUUGAGACAACAGGGUUUUGCAGGGAAUCCUUACAGGUUCCUUUCUGGUGACAUAAAAGAGCUCUCAACUAUGAGCAGACAAACAAGAGCCAAACCUAUGCCUCUUAGUGAUGAUAUUGGGCCUUAUGUUGCUCCUUUUCUUCAUCAAACUGUCAACCAGUAUGGUAUGUUUUUUAUUAUUUAAUCUUCAAUUUAUGAUAAUUCUUUGUUAUUUAUGUAUGGAAUUUAUUGGGAGGAAAUGCAGGAAAGAAUUCAUUUACGUGGAUUGGUCCAAGACAAAGGGUGAACAUUAUGGACCCUGAAAAACUAAGAGAAAUAUUUACCAAAUUUAAUGACUUCCAGAAGAUACGUACCAAUCCACUGCUUACUUUGCUUGUAAGCGGCCUUGUUAACCUCGAAGGAGACCGAUGGAGCAAGCAUAGAAAAAUCAUAAACCCUUCAUUUCAUCAAGAUAAGUUGAAGGUAUAGAAUAGUUAUGGGUACUCAGACUUUACAGAAAAUAUCAUACUUAAACCUAUGCAUUUCUGAUUUAGAAAUGAUUGGGUGCAGAAUAUGUUGCCAGCAUUUUAUCAAAGUUGUAGUGACAUGUUAAGCAAAUGGGAGAAGAUGGUGUGUACAGAAGGAUACAGUGAGUUAGAUGUGUGGCCUUAUCUCGUAGAUUUGACAAGAGAUGUGCUUUCCCGAUCUGCUUUUGGAAGCAGCUUCGAAGAAGGCAGACGAAUUUUCCAAUUACUAGACGACCAACUCGUUCUCAGAAUCAAAUUACUACAAACUGUUUACAUUCCAGGAUGGAGGUAACCCUCAACUUAAUUUACUUGAAAAAGGUUGCAAAUAUUGGAAUUGGCUAAAUUCGUGUUCGUUUUCUUGAAGGUUUUUUCCCACAAAGACAAACAGGGAGGUGAAGAUGAAACACAAAGACAUAAAAGAGUUGCUUAGGGAAAUGAUAAACAGAAGAGAGAAGGCAAUUAAAGCAGGGGAAAAGAGCAAUGAGGACUUGUUGGACAUACUUGUGGAAUCCAAUAUCAGAGAAAUGGAAGCAAAGAAUAUGAGGAUGAGCAUUGAGGAUGUGAUUGAGGAAUGCAAGCUGUUUUACUUUGCUGGCCAAGAGACCACUUCGGUCUUACUGGUGUGGACUAUGGUUUUAUUAGCAAGGUAUCCCGAUUGGCAAAGUAAAGCAAGAGAGGAGGUUUUGCAUGUUUUGGGUGACAGUAAAC